GGUGUGACUGCGUACCUUUUGUAUAAUGGGUCAGCGACUUAUAUUCUGUAGCAAGGUUAACCGUAUAGGGGAGCCGCAGGGAAACCGAGUCUUAACUGGGCGUUAAGUUGCAGGGUAUAGACCCGAAACCCGGUGAUCUAGCCAUGGGCAGGUUGAAGGUUGGGUAACACUAACUGGAGGACCGAACCGACUAAUGUUGAAAAAUUAGCGGAUGACUUGUGGCUGGGGGUGAAAGGCCAAUCAAACCGGGAGAUAGCUGGUUCUCCCCGAAAGCUAUUUAGGUAGCGCCUCGUGAAUUCAUCUUCGGGGGUAGAGCACUGUUUCGGCUAGGGGGUCAUCCCGACUUACCAACCCGAUGCAAACUACGAAUACCGAAGAAUGUUAUCACGGGAGACACACGGCGGGUGCUAACGUCCGUCGUGAAGAGGGAAACAACCCAGACCGCCAGCUAAGGUCCCAAAGUCAUGGUUAAGUGGGAAACGAUGUGGGAAGGCACAGACAGCCAGGAUGUUGGCUUAGAAGCAGCCAUCAUUUAAAGAAAGCGUAAUAGCUCACUGGUCGAGUCGGCCUGCGCGGAAGAUGUAACGGGGCUAAACCAUGCACCGAAGCUGCGGCAGCGACACUAUGUGUUGUUGGGUAGGGGAGCGUUCUGUAAGCCUGCGAAGGUGGCCUGUGAGGG
rnacentral:rRNA from 1 species